rnacentral:rRNA from 1 species
UUACCUACGGGACGCAGCAGUGAGGAAUAUUGGUCAAUGGGCUAAGGCCUGAACCAGCCAAGUCGCGUGAGGGAAGACGGUCCUAUGGAUUGUAAACCUCUUUUGUCGGGGAGCAACGAGGCCACGUGUGGCCGAAGUGAGAGUACCCGAAGAAAAAGCAUCGGCUAACUCCGUGCCAGCAGCCGCGGUAAUACGGAGGAUGCGAGCGUUAUCCGGAUUUAUUGGGUUUAAAGGGUGCGCAGGCGGCGAGUUAAGUCAGCGGUAAAAUUUCGGGGCUCAACCCCGACGAGCCGUUGAAACUGGCU